UACAGAGGUCUCAAGCGUUGUUCGGAUUCAUUGGGCGUAAAGGGCGCGUAGGCGGUGGGGUAAGUCUGGUGUGAAAUCUCGGAGCUCAACUUCGAAAUUGCACUGGAUACUGCUCUGCUAGAGGGCUGGAGAGGAGAUCGGAAUUCACGGUGUAGCAGUGAAAUGCGUAGAUAUCGUGAGGAACACCAGAGGCGAAGGCGGCUACCUGGACAAUUGCUGACGCUCAUGCACGAAAGCGUGGGGAGCAAACAGG
rnacentral:rRNA from 1 species